UACGUAGGGUGCAAGCGUUGUCCGGAAUUAUUGGGCGUAAAGGGCUCGUAGGCGGUCCAUCGCGUCGGGGAGUAGAAAGGCUGGGCCUUAACCCCAGUCCUGCUUCGAUGACGGGUGACUAGAGGUAGGUAGGGGAGAACGGAAUUCCUGGUGUAGCGGUGAAAUGCGCAGAUAUCGAGGAGGAGCACCGGGUGGCGAAGGCGGUUCUCUGGGCCUUACCUGACGCUGAGGAGCGAAAGCAUGGGGAGCAAACAGG
rnacentral:rRNA from 1 species